rnacentral:rRNA from 1 species
UACGGAGGAUCCAAGCGUUAUCCGGAUUCAUUGGGUUUAAAGGGUGCGUAGGUGGGCAGGUAAGUCAGUGGUGAAAUCUCUGGGCUUAACUCAGAAACUGCCAUUGAUACUAUCUGUCUUGAAUACCGUGGAGGUCAGCGGAAUAUGUCAUGUAGCGGUGAAAUGCUUAGAUAUGACAUAGAACACCAAUUGCGAAGGCAGCUGGCUACACGAAUAUUGACACUGAUGCACGAAGGCGUGGGGAUCAAACAGG